GCAAGAAUGGCGGAAUUGGUAGACGCGCUACUUUGAGGGGGUAGUGAUUGUAAAAUCGUGGGAGUUCAAGUCUCCUUUCUUGCACCA
rnacentral:tRNA from 1 species